GCGUCGGUGGUGCAGGCUUAGCACAUGCUCCCGGAAAGAGUAAGAUCUGGGUUCGAAUUACGGCUGACGCA